UUGAAAUAUGUACAUAAAGUUUACUAAAUUCAACGACCCAAUAGCCUCGAUUUUGCAAUAGCUGGUUUGUAUAACUUGUAUGCAAUCUAAUUUUGAAAUUAUUUGUACUGAUUUUGGCAAUAUUCUAAUGAUUGGGGUUUAAAAAUUUCCCCUUCAAAAUUAUGACCUAUAAGGGAAAGUUACAGGUAGAUGUGAUUCAAAUGUGGUAUGAAGAAAUUUGUUCAAAUAAAUGCGGAAGCAUUUAUGAUUUUCUCAAGUCGAACCCUGAUAUGGGUUAUGGGUUUUUUCUAUUGGUUCUAGGGAAUGGAAAGAACCAAUUAAAACCAGAAUCUUCUUGUUUAUAAUUUAAAAACAAACAAAAAAUGUAUUUAAUAAAUAAAAUCCUUUAUUCUUUCUCUAGCCCCCCGAGAUCGCCUGAUUUAUCCGUUUGUGAUUUUUUUCUUGUGAGGGUAACUCAAGAGCAAAGUCUACAUGACUCGACCACGAACCCUGGAUGAGUUAAAACAGAAAAUUCAGAUAAAAUCUACAGUACCAAGCUGAGAUUUUUAGUGGUCAAUGAGGAACUUCCACAGCAGAUUUCACAGAUUGUAUUCAUUAGUACAGGAGGAAACCAUCUAAUGGACAUUUUUUAUGAUUCAGACAUCAAUAUUAAAUUUCUUUCUUUCAUCAUUUUUAGUUUUAUUGGAUUGUAGAAAUGAUUUUGUAUUUCCAUGUCAUCCUGUAUUUUUAAAUGACACUAAAAAAUAGCAAAAGUCCAAUUUAGUCAAUUUGACAUAAUAAUGGUGCCACAGUUAAUAUGGACAUCCUGUAUAAGAUAAUAAUUUUAACAUACAAUAAAAUUAUGUAUUACAAAAAUUAUAUACGACUAGCUGAGUAAACACAUAGGUAUAAAGAAAACAAGAACAGGAGAUGGACUGAAAACUGCUAUUUUGAGUGCUCAGGACUCCUGCACAUGAGCGCACCAACAUUGAUGUACAACAGUGCAUUUUACAGCAAUGCCCUCUAACCCAGCUGAGACAUAAAAGGCAGGACACAGACAACGUCAACAACUAGUUGUACAACUUUUUUUAGUUGAGCAACCUACCUUCCACGGCUAAUAAUCCUAAUUUGAAUGAAUAUACACACCACUGUCAACCAGGGUACAACGGUUUGCACAACUACUUGUUCAUGCUGUAGCGGUCUAACAUAAUCUGACAUUCUAGGCUUAUUAUUUUGUCUCAUAAGGAAAGAUACUUAAAAGAUGUAGUUUGGAACAUCAAAAUUUUAAAAAAAUCUAUAAAUAUUUUCUAUCUCAAUUUGUGUAGCCCCUGUCAGUCUUUCAAUUCUAAUUUAAAACACUUUAAUUUUAACUUAAAACAGUAAGUUUUGUAAUUUUGAUCAAUAUUUCUCUUUUCUAAGACCCAGAAAAAUAUGGUACACAGUAUUCAUCCCUCUUAUACUGCUGCCAUGAUGUUAGUGGUAGGGAAAAUAAUUAAAACCACGACAAAAAUAUCAAAAAUUUUAUUUUAUGGAAAAAAACAUGAACAUAUAAUACAGCCUACAUUUACUAAUAUGUACGUAUAUAAGUGUUUGUCUGUAAAUACUGUACAGUAAAAACAUGUUAUUUUUAACUUUUAGGCCUAAAAACAUUUCAUGAUACACAAAAUUUUAGUUUUUACGACAAUUUUGAUUUAAAAAUACAGUACUGUACAAAACUCGAUGUAAAAUUUUGUAUGGUAUAAAAUGUAAUGUUUCUGAAAAUAACAUUAAGAUUAUUUUAUUUCACAAAAUGCAAUAAAAAACAAAAGGCUGAUUGCGUAAGACCUAUACCUCAUAGUCACCAUGUGUUAUAAGUGACUGAAACAAUAACUGAAAUAGUAGUUAUUGCGACUAUAGUCUGCAAAGUAAGGAGAAAAUGAGAAAGCACCAAUUACACUUGGUACAAUCACACUAUGUAUUUCCUACCUUCCUGAAGCAAUACUGUACAGUAUUGUGUUUAUAUGCACAUGUUUUAAGUGUGUACGGUACUGUAAAUUAUACGUUGUAUUGUAUUUUCAAAUACAACAUAGGUCAAUAUUGUUCAGUUUAAUAAAUUUUUGGACUUUAUUAUAAGUUAAAGAGACUCCAUGUUUUUACAAUCAUAUUUUUAACUUUAACUAAUGUCGCAUAAAACAAAACAUUGCAUAUUAUAUGCAAUGCACAGUUAAAAGCAACUGUACUCUACUAAAAUGGAAAAUCUUUUCUUUUUCUUUACUAAGUGGUGACUAUACAAACUAUCGUAACUGAAGGUAUAAAAUUAAAAAGGCAAACAGUUUUGUACUUUGUUACAAUCAGAUGAAACAAUAAUUUUACUUAUGACAUUCUUUUAUGUUUACCUAUAAGAACAAUAACAAAAAUAUUAGCUAACGUUCAACCAAAUCUAAUGCAGUGACAUGCACUGUCAUAGAAAUCAAUUUUGCUUAUAUAGAAAUGAAUCUUCAUGCAAAAUUUCAUGUCCAUAGGUCAGUUGAUUAAAAAGAUAUCGUGCAGACCAACAGAUAUUAAAUUCUUCCAGUCCCUUGAGUGAUGGCUUCGCUAAUACUCAGCCAAUGUCACAAUAUAAAAUGAUAUUCUAUAAUUAAUUACUAACGGCUUCUUUAGGUGAGGAUAGAAAGUUAACACCAACACAGGUGUAUAGCACUGUGUUGUUAAUACACAAACCCUGGAUAGAAGUGAGGAUAGUAUGCUCAGAAUGUUCAAAUCUCAAAU
rnacentral:lncRNA from 1 species